CUUUGGGUGGUUUUGGGGCCAUCCGGUGGCACUUCCCCUCCGCCACUGGCGCCGUGGGGCCGCUGCGUCCCCUGUCCUGUCGCCCGUCAUGGGUCUCCCCUCCUUGGCGCCCGUCUCUGGGUGCUGUGCCACCUCCUGAGCCACCUCCCCCCUGCUGAAGGUGCCAAGACAAUGAGCUGUGGUCCCCACUCCUGCUCCACCCAGAGCUGCUGCCUGGCUCAGGCGAGGGACCCCAACGCCACCCGCGGGGUCUGUGGGUGCCCCCCCGGCAUGACCCCCACCCUCCAGAACACCACCAUCAUCUGCCAGGG